rnacentral:lncRNA from 1 species
UGAGUAGGGAGAUAAAGGAAGGGUAUAAUAUAUAGACAAAGUGUAGAGGUGGAAGUAUGCAGCUGGCAUCAGAAGCUGGAAGAUAGGAUCUUCCCGGAUCACAGCUCCUGUUCAGAAAAGGACAGGAUGGAUGAAGAAUGCUAGUCCUGGCAGUUGGGGCCUAAGGCCAGGGCCCUUUUUUAUCACUUUCUUGUGUUGCCUCUCUGCCCAA